rnacentral:rRNA from 1 species
GUGAGGAAUAUUGGACAAUGGGCGCAAGCCUGAUCCAGCCAUGCCGCGUGCAGGAAGACGCAUCUAUGGUGUGUAAACUGCUUUUGUACGGGAAGAAACACUCCCUCGUGAGGGAGCUUGACGGUACCGUAAGAAUAAGGAUCGGCUAACUCCGUGCCAGCAGCCGCGGUAAUACGGAGGAUCCAAGCGUUAUCCGGAAUCAUUGGGUUUAAAGGGUCCGUAGGCGGUUUAACAAGUCAGUGGUGAAAGCCCAUCGCUCAACGAUGGAACGGCCAUUGAUACUGUUAGACUUGAAUUACAAGGAAGUAACUAGAAUAUGUAGUGUAGCGGUGAAAUGCUUAGAUAUUACAUGGAAUACCAAUUGCGAAGGCAGGUUACUACUUGUGGAUUGACGCUGAUGGACGAAAGCGUGGGGAGCGAACAGGAUUAGAUACCCGUGUAGUCC